GAUGAACGCUGGCGGCGUGCCUAACACAUGCAAGUCGAACGGGGGCGGAUUGAAACCUAGUGAUAUCCGCCCGAGUGGCGGACGGGUGAGUAACGCGUGGACAACCUGCCGCAUGCAGGGGGAUACCGGCUGGAAACAGCCGCUAAUACCGCAUAUGCGCACGAGGGCCGCAUGGCCCGGUGCGGAAAGGAUGCAAAUCCGGCAUGCGAUGGGUCCGCGUCCGAUUAGCUGGUUGGCGGGGCAGCGGCCCACCAAGGCGACGAUCGGUAGCCGGCCUGAGAGGGCGGACGGCCACAUUGGGACUGAGACACGGCCCAG
rnacentral:rRNA from 1 species